GCCUGGGUGGCUCAGUGGGUUGAGUGUCUGACUCCUGAUUUCAGCUCAGGUCAUGAUCUCACAGUUUGUGGGUUCGAGCCCCGCGUCGGGCU
rnacentral:tRNA from 1 species